GGAUGUGAGGACCAUCUAGCUGCCCAUCCGUCACCCCACUGAUUGCCAGGGGUGAUUCAGCUGAUCUGGCUGAGUAGGGCAGUGUCCCCUCAUGGCUCAAUGUGGUUUCUCCAGAUGUCACACAAUGGGGUGAAGAGGUUGGCCCUUUCCUGAUAAGGAAAGGCCAUUUUUCUGUCAAAGGUAUACAUGACCAGUUAGUAAAAUUAAAAUAUAAAACAAGUACACAAAAGCCAAGCAAAUUGCAUAAAUAUUUGCAUUUUUCU
ensembl:misc_RNA 7SK 7SK RNA